UCUAAGGUCCUACAAGCUAGUUCAGAUUUUGUUUUAUCCUAAUAAAAAAGUAAAAUACUGAAACAAAUUAAACUGAAAAUUGAGUCUUUUUUUCAAAAAGCAUGCAUUUUAGGUAUCUAUCAAAUGAUAACUGGAUGAGCCUUGGGAAAAUAUCAUUGGAGGCAUAAGUUAGAUGAGACUCAUUUGUGAAAUGAACAAACUCAAUGUCAAUAUAAACAGUUUCAUCGAAGAAGUUGAACAAAUUUUUUUGAAUAGUCUGCUUGCACUCAUGUUGUAUCUCUGCUCAUACUUGUGCUCUUCAUGCUACUUUAUAAAUAGAAUUUUAGCCUUUCAAACUGUACAACAGAAAAUCACCUUAUUGAAGAGAGAGGCCCUCAAUGUUUCCAUUGAGGCAAUUGGAAGCUGCUCUGCAGCCCUCUUGCAGAAGCUCCAAGCUAUUGUAUUGGGCCUGGAAUAGGCCAUUCCUACUGUUAUUUUUCAAUUGCCAGUGGAGAGGAUUGGAUUAUGCAGCAUUUGCAUAUAAUACUGGAAUUUUAAUGCUAUAUGGCUGGAGUCACGAGCUCACACUUUGUUGAUGACUCAUACAAUAUAAACAAUCUUGACUGAUGGAACACUGAAACAAAUACUGAAGUCAGUUAUCAUGCACAAUAAGCAUUUGCUGUCUAUCGAGACCCCAUCAACUAGUCAAAUGUAACUUCUGAAGAAGCUUCUGCUUUCAUUCAUAAUAUUAGUCUGUUUUCUUCUUUGUAACGAUAAUGCUUCCACCUGAGAUGCCUAUUUAUGGUUGCUAACUUGUUUUUACAUAGAACAACCCUUUAUCUAUGGCUUUUUAUAUUCAAUGAUUAAAAAUAAAUCAGCACUCAAUAACAGUAUACAGAAGAACUUUAAUAUGAGAAACAUUUUCAAUCAUUCAAGUGACCACAUCUUCAGUUUGUACCAGAAAUAGACUAUAUUGUACAUUAGAACAUAACAUUCAUUUACAAUUUAAAAUCUGAUUUAAAAAAACAGGAAAGACCGUGUAUUAUAGCUAAAAAGUUCUCAAUAUUGUUUAAAUUUACUUACAGAAAACAUUGAGGC
rnacentral:lncRNA from 1 species